rnacentral:rRNA from 1 species
GACGAAGGAUGCAAGCGUUAUCCGGAUUCAUUGGGUUUAAAGGGAGCGUAGGCGGUCUAAUAAGUCAGUGGUGAAAUCUCUCGGCUUAACUGAGAAAUGGCCAUUGAUACUGUUGGACUUGAGUACAGAUGCCGUUGGCGGAAUAUGACAUGUAGUGGUGAAAUACAUAGAGAUGUCAUAGAACACCGAUUGCGAAGGCAGCUGACGAAACUGUAACUGACGCUGAGGCUCGAAAGUGUGGGGAUCAAACAGG